rnacentral:tRNA from 1 species
CGGGGCGUAGCAUAGUGGUAGUGUACUCGCUUUGGGAGCGAGCGGCCCGAGUUCGAUUCUCGGCGCCCCGACCA